UACGUUCCCGGGCCUUGUACACACCGCCCGUCACGUCACGAAAGUCGGUAACACCCGAAGCCGGUGGCCCAACCCCUUGUGGGAGGGAGCCGUCGAAGGUGGGACUGGCGAUUGGGACG
rnacentral:rRNA from 1 species